GAUGAACGCUGGCGGCGUGCCUAAUACAUGCAAGUCGAGCGAAUGGAUUAAGAGCUUGCUCUUAUGAAGUUAGCGGCGGACGGGUGGGUAACACGUGGGUAACCUGCCCAUAAGACUGGGAUAACUCCGGGAAACCGGGGCUAAUACCGGAUAACAUUUUGAACCGCAUGGUUCGAAAUUGAAAGGCGGCUUCGGCUGUCACUUAUGGAUGGACCCGCGUCGCAUUAGCUAGUUGGUGAGGUAACGGCUCACCAAGGCAACGAUGCGUAGCCGACCGGAGAGGGUGAUCGGCCACACUGGGGCUGAGACACGGCCCAGACUCCUACGGGAGGCAGCAGUAGGGAAUCUUCCGCAAUGGACGAAAGUCUGAUGGAGCAACGCCGCGUGAGUGAUGAAGGCUUUCGGGUCGUAAAACUCUGUUGUUAGGGAAGAACAAGUGCUAGUUGAAUAAGCUGGCACCUUGACGGUACCUAACCAGAAAGCCACGGCUAACUACGUGCCAGCCGCCGCAGUAA
rnacentral:rRNA from 1 species